UGAGGAAUAUUGGACAAUGGGUGAGAGCCUGAUCCAGCCAUCCCGCGUGAAGGACGACCGCCCUAUGGGUUGUAAACUUCUUUUAUACUGGGAUAAACCUACCCUCGUGAGGGUAGCUGAAGGUACAGUAUGAAUAAGCACCGGCUAACUCCGUGCCAGCAGCCGCGGUAAUACGGAGGGUGCAAGCGUUAUCCGGAUUUAUUGGGUUUAAAGGGUCCGUAGGCGGGCUCGUAAGUCAGUGGUGAAAUCUCAUAGCUUAACUAUGAAACUGCCAUUGAUACUGCGGGUCUUGAGUAAAAGUAGAAGUGGCUGGAAUAAAGUAGUGUAGCGGUGAAAAUGCAUAGAUAUUACUUAGAACACCAAUUGCGAAGGCAGGUCACUAUGUUUUAAACUGACGCUGAUGGACGAAAAGCGUGGGGAGCGAACAGGAUUAGAUACCCUGGUAGUCCACGCCGUAAAACGAUGCUAACUCGUUUUUGGGUUUUCGGAUUCAGAGACU
rnacentral:rRNA from 1 species